GAAUAAGAAAAAAACACUUUUAACAAAAAACCUUAGGUAACAUAAACUAAUACUUUUAUCAAAUUAUUACUGCUCCUCCCUUUGCUCCCAUCCGCCGCCGCAGCCUGUCAUCCCCGACUGUCGCCCGCCACCGCCCGCUACCCCCGCUGCCGUCGCCUCCUCAUCAGCUCAGCACCUCCAUGAUUCGCCUUCUCUCUUCUUCGACGAACAGCUGCUCGACGAGUGCUCGCCUCAAACAGCCGCACCCGCACAGGCACACACAAGCAAGCGCGCCUCCAUCGUCGCUCGCCGUCCGCCACCAUCGAUGUCAGCAUCAGCAGCAAGCGCUAUCGCCACCUCCGUCACCUCCAUCCAACGGCAGUCACCGGCUCAGCCAGAGUAUAAAUUGAUAGGUUUCUGAUUGAUACUUUGGAAACAAAGCUUGGUCUGAGAAAUAUGGCAUUGCUUGGAACUAGGCUCCUGUUGAUAAACUACAUUGGUUCUGUUUCAGUAGCAAUUUACUUACCUCAGAUAGCUCCAUUUUUUAUCGUACACUUAAUGGUAUCAACUCGAGUGUUAAUCUAGUAGUCUCUCAACAUCUCUUGACCGAAGUUCUAGUUUAUAUAGUCGUAAAAAAGUAGGAACUUCAGAACUGAUUGCACAGUUAUAAGUUUGGUUAAAUUAGUAGAUUUUCACUGUUGUUGGUUUGUCAUUUUCGUAACUUGUUGGGCAUUAGAAUUUCAUUAUACUAAGAUUCUUAUAUCGAUCCCUGUCUUCAUAUGCUCUAGAGUGAAUGUGGGGGUGGGUGGGAGGGGUAAUAUGAGCUGUCUAGUUAGGGUUUCUACAGAACUGAUUGCACAGUCAUAUGUUUGGUUAACUUAGUAAAUUUGACUUACUGCAGAGAGUAGAAUCAGGGGUCUUGGCAAAAACAAUCUUAUUGAUCCUGAAUUUCCAUAGUGUUUAUGAUCUGCAACUAAAGUAAAUCUCGCCUAAUAAAAAUAAGCAAAGAUGGAUUUUGACAGAAUGAGAGCUGGAGUAGAGGAAAUAUCAGUUUCUGAUGGAUUUGUCGUAGAUAUCGAAGUCUUCUUUCAUCUUACAGAAGAAGCAAGUGAAUGCAUGGUAGAGAGUAGAGAGAGGUAGUGUUUUUGUAUGUUUAAUUUGUGUAUGAUGGGGCUUUUGCAGGCACUUUAUGUUUUGAGUUAUUAAUGGAGCUCAACACAAAGGCAAUACAUAGGUAUUAUCUUCGUGUUGCUCACAUUGCAGAUUGUGUGAUAGAUACAUUCCUUAAUCCUAAGUGAAUAAAGAAAAAAGUGUUGGAUCAUCUUUGAUGUUGGGCAUAGAGAGUCAAUGGGCUCCUAUUGCUCUUCGUUGUAUGGUGAAAGGCUGCUCAAUGAGCUCUCAAAGCAAUGGGUAAAACAAAACAAAAACAUGAUAUGUUUUCUUCUAUAUAGGCCUGUACAAAUGUGUGGUAGAGCAUAUACUUCAAUUUUCAACUGAAGGAUGAAAGUUUGAAUGGAUGAAUGGAUUGCUUUGGACUGAAAGCUGCUUCAUAGUAUCAUUUUUUGUUGAAGAUUGUAAAUGACUACUCUAGCUACUUAGAUACAUUACUUGGCUGGUUAAAUAAUGGAUGGUUAAGUUAUUUGAAUAUUUUGACAUUUUGAUUAUGGAUGGAUGAAGUUAUUUGGAUGAUUAAAUAUUUAUAUAAUAGUAUAUGUUUUGGUUGUA